rnacentral:lncRNA from 1 species
GAUGAGUUUUUAAUGAAGAAGUUUUGUACAUUUCAUUUUUAUCGAAAAUAAAUUUUUUCUUCUGAUUUUUGUGAAAGGACGAUGACUAGAGAAUCUGGUAAUUCGUUUUCUCUCAUAUCACCUUUUAGACUUUUAUACACGCCUUUUAGAUUUUGUGUUCUGUACUUCCAAUAAAUUAUUCAUACUAGCUCCGACGAGCUUUUUUUUUUGUCUUCUUCUAGGUUGUGCUCGUUGGCGUUAGAUAAGAUUUUAAUUGUUUCGAGAGGAGGAUUGCAAUCGAAUUUUUUGAUAUGAGAUCGAUUUGAGAUUCCGUUGUUGAAAAUAUGCCCUAGAGGCAAUAAUAAAUUUGUUAUUAUCACAUUUCCUUGUUCUUGAUAAAGGUUUAUUAUCCAUGCUAUAAUUGUAUUGAUAGGAAACUAAAUACAUGUGUGGAUAAGCCAUCAUCCAUGACACA